UAGGGUUCAUAUGUGUGUCAUGUCACUCUUACGUAAAGUGACAAGUAAAGUGUUACCAAAAAAAAAAGAGUCUUACCCUGAAUCCUCCUACUUCUGAAAACUGUGAACGGCUCCAUCCAGAGAAAGCAGUGACUGUUCCAGCUCUUCUAGAGACCAGCGUUCCAUCCUCGUAGCGACUUCAAGCGACGUUAGUUGGAUUUGUGGAUGUAUUUAUACUGAACUCUAUUCCUCUCCAGAAAUCAUGUCGUGUCUUCUUCCAUUUCAUUUUUAAACUUUUAGGAGUGUCAUCAUGUCAGCAAACCCCCCCCCCCCCCUUUCCCCUACCUACCAUUAUUUUCACUUUAAUUAUUUAAAGCGUCACGUUUAAGUAAGAAAGAGGAAAAAAAAGAAAAGGAAAAAAGAAGCACUUUAUCUGUACCUUGGUGGCCUGCUGUAAGCUCACUGUCUGAGACACUAUUGCGAGAUACAGCCCUGAUAGGCAGCAGGGGAGUUCAGAAGUCUUUGUGGUUGACUAUCCAUAGCCUUGGAGAUAAAAAACAAACAAUUUUUUUUUAUUUUAUUUUAUUUUGUUGUAUGAUUUUUGUUUUGGGGGGGGGGACACCAGACACCAGACACGGAUGGUUGUGUACACUGUAUUCUCGCAUUAGACUUGGGUGCUUUUCUCUCUUAGCUUAUCUGCCACACACACACACACACACUCUACAACAAUCCACAUUUUAACCUUUCCACUGGAGAAACAUGGGUGAACAAAUGUGUCAAAGCCCCCUAUGCAUUAUCAGUUAAAGCUUUAUGAGUGACUUUGGGAGAAAAGGAAAAUAAUACCAUGCUGUAAGGAUACUGUGAAUUCAACUGCUGAGUGUGCUGAAGAAAAAGCUCGCUACUAGUCGGAGCCUGCAGUUAUUGAGUCAUCUGGCAAAAAGCAGACCGCAACGCUGGCCUUUAGUGACCUUUUGUGUUGAAAGCAGCGCUGUUGGAAUAGUGGGGAGGGGCAGGACAGCAGCAAAGGAAAG